UCAGUCCUACGGGGGGCAGCAGUGGGGAAUAUUGCACAAUGGGGGAAACCCUGAUGCAGCGACGCCGCGUGGGCGAGGAAGUACCUCGGUAUGUAAAGCCCUAUCAGCAGGGAAGAAACAGGACAGUACCUGACUAAGAAGCCCCGGCUAACUACGUACCAGCAGCCGCGGUAAUACGUAGGGGGCAAGCGUUAUCCGGAUUCACUGGGCGUAAAGGGAGCGCAGGCGGCAUGGCACGUCUGAUGUGAAAUCCCGGGGCCCAACCCCGGGAGUGCAUUGGAAACUGCCAGGCUGGAUUGUCGGCG
rnacentral:rRNA from 1 species